GUGAAGAAGUGCAAGGGUUAGGAGGCACAUGUACCACACUAUAGAACAGGAGAGACACCCACGACUGAGGAGAAAAGAAAGAGUGGACCUCACGGGGACACAUAAGGGGACCCACACAGUAACCUAAUGGCCUAACCACAGGGGGCCCAUCUGCUCAGUCGCAAUUGACUAUUGUAUGCCACUAAAGUAUAACGAUGCUUGCUUCUUAUGUUUGUAUUAUACCUUUAUAUGUUUGCUUUAUAUCUUUUUGAACUGGAAAUUGUAUACUAUCACCAUAACCCAUGGAAAUCUUCCACAAC